UACGUAGGGUGCAAGCGUUGUCCGGAAUUAUUGGGCGUAAAGAGCUCGUAGGCGGUUUGUCGCGUCGAAUGUGAAAACCCGGGGCUCAACCCCGGGCCUGCAUUCGAUACGGGCAGACUAGAGUUCGGUAGGGGAGUCUGGAAUUCCUGGUGUAGCGGUGAAAUGCGCAGAUAUCAGGAGGAACACCGGUGGCGAAGGCGGGACUCUGGGCCGGAUGACUGACGCUGAGGAGCGAAAGCGUGGGGGAGCAAACAGG
rnacentral:rRNA from 1 species